UACGUAGGGCGCAAGCGUUAUCCGGAAUUAUUGGGCGUAAAGAGCUCGUAGGCGGUUUGUCGCGUCUGCCGUGAAAGUCCGGGGCUCAACUCCGGAUCUGCGGUGGGUACGGACAGACUAGAGUGAUGUAGGGGAGACUGGAAUUCCUGGUGUAGCGGUGAAAUGCGCAGAUAUCAGGAGGAACACCGAUGGCGAAGGCAGGUCUCUGGGCAUUAACUGACGCUGAGGAGCGAAAGCAUGGGGAGCGAACAGG
rnacentral:rRNA from 1 species